rnacentral:antisense_RNA from 1 species
CUUGCUUAGCAAAAUUGGAUCACCCUGCACUUUGGGAGGCCGAAGCAGGUGGAUCACCUGAGACUGAUGAUAGCAACUGGCUCUGAAUUGCUGCUUCUGCUCAACUUCCUGGAUGCUAGCAGUACCUAGGGAUGUAAAGACCUUUCAACUACAGCUCAUAGCAGGCCCUUGUGUCUGAGAAUGACUGCUUCUGUGAUCUGAUGAGCACAUGUGGUGUGCAUCCAGUGGCUCUGCUCUUAAACUAGGCCCAUGACUACCAACAGUCAUUCUUCCUGGGCUGCUGAGACCAGAAAAUAAAAGUGCCUUCCAAAUGGUUCACAGAUGCAGAGGGAUUUUGGCUCAGGAUGAAUUGCACCUUCAGUCUCACCCAAACCUGAUUUAGAUAAUAUUUCAAUGAGACUUUGGACUUUAGACUUUACAGUUGAUGCUGCAACCAGUUAAGGCUUUUGGGAUUGUCGGAAUGGAAUGAAUGUAUUUUGCAUGUGAGAAGAACAUGAAGUGUGGGGGGCCAUGGGCAGAAUAUUAUGGACUGCAUGAUUUCGUCUCCCUAGAAUACAUAUGUUGAAAUUCUAAUCCCCAAUAUGAUGGUAUUAUGUGGUGGGAACUUUGGGAGGUAAUUAGGUUAUGAGGGUGGAGACCUCAUGUAAAGGAUUAGUGCCCUUAUAAGAAGAAACACAAGAGUUUGCUUCCUGUCUCUGCUCUCCACUAUGUGAAGAUAGAACAAGAAGAUGGCCAUCUGCAAACCAGGAAGACAGUCCUCAUCAGACACUGGAUCUGCCAGCACCUUGAUCCUGGACUUCACAGCCUCCAGAACUGUGAGAAAUACAUAUAUGUUUUUUAAAGCACCCAGUCUGUGGCACUUUGUUAUAGCAACCUGAACUAAAACAGUUGCUAUUGAACUCUGUUC